AGCUGGGUCUCGCGCAAUGGAAAGGGUGUGAACCCCGUCAGGUCCGGAAGGAAGCAGCGGUAGCACCUCGGCCCAUGUGCCGCGAGGGUGCCUAGCUAUC
rnacentral:SRP_RNA from 1 species